AAAUAUAUAAAUAAGGUAGUAUUAAACUAAAAACCAAUAUAAAAUGGCGGUCAUAACAAAUUAGAGGAACUCGCUUUAUAAUCGUCAAUACCCGUUAAAUUUCACUUAAAUUUUUAUAAUUUAUAUACCGCCGUUACAGAAUAUAUCUAAUAAUAUAAAUCAUUAAAUACUAAAAUAAAAAAUCAGGUCAAGGUGUAGUUAAUAUAUAAGAAAAAGUAAGUUACAAUAAAUAUAAUUUAAGAAUUAAAUUCAUAAGAAAAUAUGAAAAAGAAUCUAAUYUCAAAUUAAAAUUAAAAUYUAAAAUAGAAUAAUAAAUUAAUGACGC
rnacentral:rRNA from 1 species